CCUACGGGUGGCAGCAGUGAGGAAUAUUGGUCAAUGGACGCGAGUCUGAACCAGCCAAGUAGCGUGAAGGAUGACUGCCCUACGGGUUGUAAACUUCUUUUAUAUGGGAAUAAAAUGUUCCACGUGUGGGUUUUUGUAUGUACCUUAUGAAUAAGGAUCGGCUAACUCCGUGCCAGCAGCCGCGGUAAUACGGAGGAUCCGAGCGUUAUCCGGAUUUAUUGGGUUUAAAGGGAGCGUAGGUGGAUUGUUAAGUCAGUUGUGAAAGUGUGCGGCUCAACCGUAAAAUUGCAGUUGAAACUGGCAGUCUUGAGUACAGUAGAGGUGGGCGGAAUUCGUGGGGUAGCGGUGAAAUGCUUAGAUAGCACGAAGAACUCCGAUUGCGAAGGCAGCUCACUGGACUGCAACUGACACUGAGGCUCGAAAGUGUGGGUAUCAAACAGGAUUAGAUACCCUUGUAGUC
rnacentral:rRNA from 1 species